rnacentral:rRNA from 1 species
UACGUAGGGAGCAAGCGUUGUUCGGAAUUACUGGGCGUAAAGGGCUCGUAGGUGGCCAACUAAGUCAGACGUGAAAUCCCUCAGCUUAACUGGGGAACUGCGUCUGAUACUGGAUGGCUUGAGUUUGGGAGAGGGAUGCGGAAUUCCAGGUGUAGCGGUGAAAUGCGUAGAUAUCUGGAGGAACACCGGUGGCGAAGGCGGCAUCCUGGACCAACACUGACACUGAGGAGCGAAAGCCAGGGGAGCAAACGGG